rnacentral:rRNA from 1 species
AUGAACGCUGGCGGCGUGCCUAAUCCAUGCCAGUCGAGCGAACGGACGAGAAGCUUGCUUCUCUGAUGUUAGCGGCGGACGGGUGAGUAACACGUGGAUAACCUACCUAUAAGACUGGGAUAACUUCGGGAAACCGGAGCUAAUACCGGAUAAUAUUUUGAACCGCAUGGUUCAAAAGUGAAAGACGGUCUUGCUGUCACUUAUAGAUGGAUCCGCGCUGCAUUAGCUAGUUGGUAAGGUAACGGGUUACCAAGGCAACGAUGCAUAGCCGACCUGAGAGGGUGAUCGGCCACACUGGAACUGAGACACGGUCCAGACUCCUACGGGAGGCAGCAGUAGGGAAUCUUCCGCAAUGGGCGAAAGCCUGACGGAGCAACGCCGCGUGAGUGAUGAAGGUCUUCGGAUCGUAAAACUCUGUUAUUAGGGAAGAACAUAUGUGUAAGUAACUGUGCACAUCUUGACGGUACCUAAUCAGAAAGCCACGGCUAACUACGUG